rnacentral:lncRNA from 1 species
UUGAGAUCUGCAGAAAACAUUGAAUGUGGAGAAAAUGUAAGCCCAAUUUAGAAAAAAUACACCAUUCCUGUGCUUGGUUUCUCCAGAAGGUCAUAAAUGCAGCCCCUGUGACACAAACUGGAGAUAUUAUGGAGAUAGCUGCUAUGGGUUCUUCAGGCACAACUUAACAUGGGAAGAGAGUAAGCAGUACUGCACUGACAUGAAUGCUACUCUCCUGAAGAUUGACAACCGGAACAUUGUGGUAAGAAGAUUCUUAUGUCAAAUAUUUUGGAGGCAAGGGAGAAAACUCUCAAAUGUAACAUUUUCUAUUUUCCUUUAAUUUUCUUUCUUCUUGUCCUUCAUUUCUAAUUACCUGAACGUGGUAUGAUUUACUGCAUCUUCAGAUAUACACAUAUAAAACCAAAAUCAGGCCAAUAUAGGUUAGGGCUUAAUUAAUAUAAGUUGUGCAAAAUAUCUAUGUUUGAAAUCUGUCCAAAAUAUC